rnacentral:snRNA from 1 species
AUACCUUUCUCGGCCUUUUGGCUAAGAUCAAGUGUAGUAUCUGUUCUUAUCAGUUUAAUAUCUGAUAUGUGGGCCAUUGGUUCACACGAUAUUAACUUAAUUUUUCGAGGGAAAGAUCCCAUCAAGGUAGCUUGCUACCUGUGCUCUUGCGCGUCGCCCAUGUGUUGCACUACUGCACGGGCCUGGCGCACCCUAC